UUUCCUACAUGUCUUCCUUAUAUGAAGUUCACAGCAGUGUUGGGCAGAAGGAAACAAAAAACACAAAGUGAUCGCAGACAUCAAAUGGAAGCUGCUGCCUUGACGCCCUCUGCAGACCUGGCUACGUGUCUAAUGAAAUGUCUGGAGUGAUUCAUGGACUACAACAUGUAUUGUAAAAGCGGACUCAAAGGGCAGAGCUAUGUUUUCUGGACUUUACUGGUUCAAGCAGGAAAUCUUGAAUCACCUCAAUAAAUUUUCUAGCUAAUGGUUCAUUGAGGUUUGGAGGAGAAUAAACUGACCAAGGUUCAUUUACUCGAACUUGGGACUUCUUCAUGCUUUCUUCACUGUGUAGGGAUUUGGAAGGUGUUUGUCUAUUUAUUUAAUUGAUUGUUGUUGUUGCUGUAUGUGUGGGUGUGUUCAGUGUUUUUUUUUUUAAUUUUACAUGAUUAGAA
rnacentral:lncRNA from 1 species